UGGCCUCUUACCUCAGUCAUGUCUUGAUCAGAGCUAGUUGAUGUUUACAUAAGAACUUGGUCGGAUCAGUUCUCUAAGUGGUGAUAUAGUUUAGAUUUUGAUUAAUUUCGGUUUUAAUCAACCUCUUAGAAUCACCAGCUAUGAUGUUUUUAUCUGGCCUUGAAUAAACCGAUUUGAACUCAGUCUGAUCUUGUCGUGAACUUUGGUAGACUGACUAGAACCGAGCUGAACUUGUAUAGUCUGAGCAGAACAAAGCUUGAACUGAUCUGAUCUAAGGUGUUAAGGCAUGAACCGAACUGAU
rnacentral:lncRNA from 1 species